GUCAGGGACCUCCCUGAAUCUGCCCAAAUAAAUGGUCUGUAGUGAUAGCAUUCAACCAGGGAGCAAGAAGAAGAGUGGAAGUCUACUAGGACUGUUAGUAGAUGGGAAACUGCUCACGCUUUGUGCCUCUCACAGGCAGGGGAGAGAGUCUUUUUAGAAGCUCAUUAUUGUAAACUUGAAAUACAUGGGGCACAUCCUUUCCAAGUCUUUCCCCGCUCCAGGCAAAAGAGUAGCAAGUUUGCCGCAAAGGUGUUUAAUGUGUCGUUCAUAUCAUCUUCUGGGGAGAGACGCCAUCAGUAGCUCAACCUCCAUAUCCACAGCCAGCCUUCCCAAGCCAGAAAUUGCAGCUGAUUUUAGGAAGAGGCAUUUUACACUUGAUGCAUAUAGACUUGAGCAUACGCACACAGAAAUCCGUGCACAACGUGGUGGUUGUUACCUCAGUUGGUUUGGUCUUCCAAGUCCUCCACUGAUGAGGGAAAGGAGAAGAGUGUCCUCCAUGAGAAGAGGACUUUUUAAAAUAUUGAAGAGGCAUGUUUGCUUUACAAAUUGAGGAAGAUGUGAAUUUUUCCUCUUCACAGUGAGUUAUUCCUUCUUUACAUAGAUCUUCUGCUUGCA
rnacentral:lncRNA from 1 species